GGGGUUGUGGCUCAGUGGUAGAGUGCUUGCUUAGCAUGCAUGAGGCACUGGUAUCUAUCCCCAGCACCUCA
rnacentral:tRNA from 1 species